GACAGAGGGUGCAAACGUUGCUCGGAAUUACUGGGCGUAAAGCGCGUGUAGGUGGAUUGGUGUGUCAGAUGUGAAAGCCCUGGGCUCAACCCAGGAACUGCACCUGAAACUACCAGACUUGAGUGGUGGAGAGGGAAGUGGAAUUCCUGGUGUAGAGGUGAAAUUCGUAGAUAUCAGGAGGAACACCAGUGGCGAAGGCGGCUUCCUGGACACUAACUGACGCUGAGACGCGAAAGCGUGGGGAGCAAACAGG
rnacentral:rRNA from 1 species